rnacentral:rRNA from 1 species
GACGAACGCUGGCGGCGUGCUUAACACAUGCAAGUCGAACGAAGAGCGAUGGAAGCUUGCUUCUAUCACUCUUAGUGGCGAACGGGUGAGUAACGCGUAAUCAACCUGCCCUUCAGAGGGGGACAACAGUUGGAAACGACUGCUAAUACCGCAUACGAUCUAAUCUCGGCAUCGAGGAUAGAUGAAAGGUGGCCUCUACAUGUAAGCCAUCACUGAAGGAGGGGAUUGCGUCUGAUUAGCUAGUUGGAGGGGUAACGGCCCACCAAGGCGAUGAUCAGUAGCCGGUCUGAGAGGAUGAACGGCCACAUUGGGACUGAGACACGGCCCAGACUCCUACGGGAGGCAGCAGUGGGGAAUCUUCCGCAAUGGACGAAAGUCUGACGGAGCAACGCCGCGUGAGCGAUGACGGCCUUCGGGUUGUAAAGCUCUGUUAAUCGGGACGAAAGGCCUUCUUGCGAAUAGUGAGAAGGAUUGACGGUACCGGAAUAGAAAGCCACGGCUAACUACGUG